CGUUCUGUAAGCCUGUGAAGGUGUGCUGUGAGGCAUGCUGGAGGUAUCAGAAGUGCGAAUGCUGACAUAAGUAACGAUAAAGCGGGUGAAAAGCCCGCUCGCCGGAAGACCAAGGGUUCCUGUCCAACGUUAAUCGGGGCAGGGUGAGUCGACCCCUAAGGCGAGGCCGAAAGGCGUAGUCGAUGGGAAACAGGUUAAUAUUCCUGUACUUGGUGUUACUGCGAAGGGGGGACGGAGAAGGCUAUGUUGGCCGGGCGACGGUUGUCCCGGUUUAAGCGUGUAGGCUGGUUUUCCAGGCAAAUCCGGAAAAUCAAGGCUGAGGCGUGAUGACGAGGCACUACGGUGCUGAAGCAACAAAUGCCCUGCUUCCAGGAAAAGCCUCUAAGCAUCAGGUAACAUCAAAUCGUACCCCAAACCGACACAGGUGGUCAGGUAGAGAAUACCAAGGCGCUUGAGAGAACUCGGGUGAAGGAACUAGGCAAAAUGGUGCCGUAACUUCGGGAGAAGGCACGCUGAUAUGUAGGUGAAGUCCCUCGCGGAUGGAGCUGAAAUCAGUCGAAGAUACCAGCUGGCUGCAACUGUUUAUUAAAAACACAGCACUGUGCAAACACGAAAGUGGACGUAUACGGUGUGACGCCUGCCCGGUGCCGGAAGGUUAAUUGAUGGGGUCAGCGCAAGCGAAGCUCUUGAUCGAAGCCCCGGUAAACGGCGGCCGUAACUAUAACGGUCCUAAGGUAGCGAAAUUCCUUGUCGGGUAAGUUCCGACCUGCACGAAUGGCGUAAUGAUGGCCAGGCUGUCUCCACCCGAGACUCAGUGAAAUUGAACUCGCUGUGAAGAUGCAGUGUACCCGCGGCAAGACGGAAAGACCCCGUGAACCUUUACUAUAGCUUGACACUGAACAUUGAGCCUUGAUGUGUAGGAUAGGUGGGAGGCUUAGAAGUGUGGACGCCAGUCUGCAUGGAGCCGACCUUGAAAUACCACCCUUUAAUGUUUGAUGUUCUAACGUUGACCCGUAAUCCGGGUUGCGGACAGUGUCUGGUGGGUAGUUUGACUGGGGCGGUCUCCUCCUAAAGAGUAACGGAGGAGCACGAAGGUUGGCUAAUCCUGGUCGGACAUCAGGAGGUUAGUGCAAUGGCAUAAGCCAGCUUGACUGCGAGCGUGACGGCGCGAGCAGGUGCGAAAGCAGGUCAUAGUGAUCCGGUGGUUCUGAAUGGAAGGGCCAUCGCUCAACGGAUAAAAGGUACUCCGGGGAUAACAGGCUGAUACCGCCCAAGAGUUCAUAUCGACGGCGGUGUUUGGCACCUCGAUGUCGGCUCAUCACAUCCUGGGGCUGAAGUAGGUCCCAAGGGUAUGGCUGUUCGCCAUUUAAAGUGGUACGCGAGCUGGGUUUAGAACGUCGUGAGACAGUUCGGUCCCUAUCUGCCGUGGGCGCUGGAGAACUGAGGGGGGCUGCUCCUAGUACGAGAGGACCGGAGUGGACGCAUCACUGGUGUUCGGGUUGUCAUGCCAAUGGCACUGCCCGGUAGCUAAAUGCGGAAGAGAUAAGUGCUGAAAGCAUCUAAGCACGAAACUUGCCCCG
rnacentral:rRNA from 1 species